rnacentral:misc_RNA from 1 species
AACUUUCGGCAACGGAUCUCUUGGUUCUCGCACCGAUGAAGAACGCAGCGAACUGCGAUACGUAAUGUGACUUGCAGAAUCUCGUGAAUCAUCCAAUCUUUGAACGCAAAUGGCGCUCUCGCAAGGGAGCACGCCUGGCUGAGUAUCAUUGCCCUCUCCCUCCCGCAGCUCCCGCUGCGGGGUCGCCCUGCGGGUCUGCACGCACUUGGGUGCGCGCCCCGUGAAACGCGCAGCUAAACCCUGGCCGCGGAACCGACCGGGAAAAAGCCCCCACGCUGUAAGCGGUCUCGCUCCUCGUGGAAGGCCCCUCCCCGCGUUUGCUUCGCGCCCAUUACGCACAUGAUCUCAGCUCAGGCGAGAGGACCCGCUGAACUUAAGCAUAUCAAUAAGCGGAGGCU